rnacentral:rRNA from 1 species
GGGACGGGUACCGCCCACGUACGACGAUGCGUAGGGGUUCUGAGAGGAAGGUCCCCCCACACUGGUACUGAGACACGGACCAGACUCCUACGGAAGGCAGCAG